GAUGAACGCUAGCUACAGGCUUAACACAUGCAAGUCGAGGGGCAGCAUGUUGGUUGCUUGCAACCAACGAUGGCGACCGGCGCACGGGUGAGUAACGCGUAUCCAACCUUCCGCAUACUCGGGAAUAGCCUUUCGAAAGAAAGAUUAAUGCCCGAUGGUUUCCCGAAUCCGCAUGAGCGCGGGAAUAAAGAUUCAUCGGUAUGCGAUGGGGAUGCGUCCCAUUAGCUUGUUGGCGGGGUAACGGCCCACCAAGGCUACGAUGGGUAGGGGUUCUGAGAGGAAGGUCCCCCACAUUGGAACUGAGACACGGUCCAAACUCCUACGGGAGGCAGCAGUGAGGAAUAUUGGUCAAUGGGCGAGAGCCUGAACCAGCCAAGUAGCGUGAGGGAUGACCGCCCUACGGGUCGUAAACCUCUUUUAUAAGGGAAUAAAGAUAAGUACGCGUACUUAGUUGCAUGUACCUUAUGAAUAAGCAUCGGCUAACUCCGUGCCAGCCGCCGCGGUAA
rnacentral:rRNA from 1 species